GAAAUGUGAUAAGUAAUGUGAAUUGCAGAUUUUCAGUGAAUCAUUGAAUCUUUGAACGCACCUUGCGCUCCUUGGUAUUCCGAGGAGCAUGCCUGUUUGAGUGUCAUUAAAUCAUCAACCCCACUGAUUUGUUUCGGCUUGGGGCUUGGACUUGGAGUGUGCUGGCGAAGGUCGGCUCCUCUUUAAAUGCAUCAGUGGAAGAAUGCACUUUUUUCCCCCUUCAGCGUGAUAAUCCUGUUGCGCUGUGUGUGGGUCAAAGGUGUUCCGCUUAUAAUCGUCCUUCGGACAAAUGAACCCAUCUAUUUUUGACCUCAAAUCAGGUAGGACUACCCGCUGAACUUAA
rnacentral:misc_RNA from 1 species